CACAGAAGAAGAAUAAGCCCAUAUGCCUGAUCUUCUCUAUAUCACAGAAUAUAGACAUCAAGGAGUGCUGAUAAGACACUAAAACAGGCAGUCAUGUCAAUCCAGACAGGAGCUGUUGGUGCGUGACCAGGAAGAACUCUGGAGGCAAUGCUGACUGAAGCAGGCAAGCUGUGUGGAUUCAGCUUGUCUGAAGCCAGAGUUCUGUCAAUGUCCAAACCACAGCAAAAAA